AUGUCACUCUUUCUUUUCUUCAAUCUUUUCUUCCUUCUUAGCUUCUUUCACUUCUUUCACUUCCUUUGUUGCUUUAGCUUCCUUGCUCACUUCUUUCACCUUUGCCUUUCCAGCUUUCGGCUUCAUGAAGCAAAAGCAAGAACAACAAGGACACUGAAACAAGAACUUCAUUUCCACUCCAAAAAAAGUGCUCAGAUCUCAAUUUUGUGUCCUCUUCUUAUCUUCUAA